rnacentral:rRNA from 1 species
CUUAUGCGUUGUUGGGUAGGGGAGCGUUCUGUAAGCCUGUGAAGGUGUACUGUGAGGUAUGCUGGAGGUAUCAGAAGUGCGAAUGCUGACAUAAGUAACGAUAAAGCGGGUGAAAAGCCCGCUCGCCGGAAGACCAAGGGUUCCUGUCCAACGUUAAUCGGGGCAGGGUGAGUCGACCCCUAAGGCGAGGCCGAAAGGCGUAGUCGAUGGGAAACAGGUUAAUAUUCCUGUACUUGGUGUUACUGCGAAGGGGGGACGGAGAAGGCUAUGUUGGCCGGGCGACGGUUGUCCCGGUUUAAGCGUGUAGGCUGGUUUUCCAGGCAAAUCCGGAAAACUAAGGCUGAGGCGUGAUGACGAGGCACUACGGUGCUGAAGCAACAAAUGCCCUGCUUCCAGGAAAAGCCUCUAAGCAUCAGGUAACCAUCAAAUCGUACCCCAAACCGACACAGGUGGUCAGGUAGAGAAUACCAAGGCGCUUGAGAGAACUCGGGUGAAGGAACUAGGCAAAAUGGUGCCGUAACUUCGGGAGAAGGCACGCUGAUAUGUAGGUGAAGCGACUUGCUCGUGGAGCUGAAAUCAGUCGAAGAUACCAGCUGGCUGCAACUGUUUAUUAAAAACACAGCACUGUGCAAACACGAAAGUGGACGUAUACGGUGUGACGCCUGCCCGGUGCCGGAAGGUUAAUUGAUGGGGUUAGCGGUAACGCGAAGCUCUUGAUCGAAGCCCCGGUAAACGGCGGCCGUAACUAUAACGGUCCUAAGGUAGCGAAAUUCCUUGUCGGGUAAGUUCCGACCUGCACGAAUGGCGUAAUGAUGGCCAGGCUGUCUCCACCCGAGACUCAGUGAAAUUGAACUCGCUGUGAAGAUGCAGUGUACCCGCGGCAAGACGGAAAGACCCCGUGAACCUUUACUAUAGCUUGACACUGAACAUUGAGCCUUGAUGUGUAGGAUAGGUGGGAGGCUUUGAAGUGUGGACGCCAGUCUGCAUGGAGCCGGCCUUGAAAUACCACCCUUUAAUGUUUGAUGUUCUAACGUUGGCCCCUGAUCGGGGUUGCGGACAGUGUCUGGUGGGUAGUUUGACUGGGGCGGUCUCCUCCUAAAGAGUAACGGAGGAGCACGAAGGUUGGCUAAUCCUGGUCGGACAUCAGGAGGUUAGUGCAAUGGCAUAAGCCAGCUUGACUGCGAGCGUGACGGCGCGAGCAGGUGCGAAAGCAGGUCAUAGUGAUCCGGUGGUUCUGAAUGGAAGGGCCAUCGCUCAACGGAUAAAAGGUACUCCGGGGAUAACAGGCUGAUACCGCCCAAGAGUUCAUAUCGACGGCGGUGUUUGGCACCUCGAUGUCGGCUCAUCACAUCCUGGGGCUGAAGUAGGUCCCAAGGGUAUGGCUGUUCGCCAUUUAAAGUGGUACGCGAGCUGGGUUUAGAACGUCGUGAGACAGUUCGGUCCCUAUCUGCCGUGGGCGCUGGAGAACUGAGGGGGGCUGCUCCUAGUACGAGAGGACCGGAGUGGACGCAUCACUGGUGUUCGGGUUGUCAUGCCAAUGGCACUGCCCGGUAGCUAAAUGCGGAAGAGAUAAGUGCUGAAAGCAUCUAAGCACGAAACUUGCCCCGAGAUG